AGGGAACGGCAGGAGGGAACGCUGGGGAGGGGAGACAAUCUGGAGAGUUCCAGAAAAAGCAAGUAGGACUCUUUCCAGAAGUUUGGGCAAGAUUUUCCCUGGACCAGGGCGUGGGUUCUCCAGUACUCGUCCCUCCCGGUCACUGAGAUGCUCUGAGUUUCCGGUCUGAACCUGAACAGAAAGAGGUGUAGUCCCUCCUUUCUUGAACGGGAAAACUGAACGCACAUACGUACUUGCCACGCCUAAGGCUGCGGAGUGAGCAGAUGGAAAAUGCGGGACUCAAAACCUCCCCUCUCUAUUGUGCACUCGCCGGAGCAGCGGCCCACCAGCCCCCGGCUCCGGCGCCACCAUCUUCGCGCUAAGCUCUGGCCAAGGCCGCUGCGGCAUCGCGGUGAUCCGGACCAGCGGCUCCGCCAGCGGCCACGCCCUCCGAAUUCUCACGGCACCCCGAGACCUGCCCCCUGCUCGCCACGCCAGCGUGCGCCUCCUCAGAGACCCCCGCUCCGGGGAGCCUCUGGACCGCGCACUGGUACUCUGGUUCCCAGGUCCCCAGAGUUUCACUGGUGAGGACUGCGUGGAGUUCCACGUGCAUGGAGGCCCGGCAGUGGUGAGCGGCGUCCUGCAGGCCUUGGGCAGCGUGCCAGGGCUUCGACCGGCGGAGGCAGGCGAGUUCACCAGGCGGGCGUUCGCCAAUGGGAAGCUGAACCUGACCGAAGUGGAGGGGCUGGCGGACCUUAUCCACGCAGAAACCGAGGCGCAGCGGCGGCAGGCCCUCAGGCAGCUGGACGGGGAGCUGGGCCACCUCUGCCGUGGCUGGGCCGAGACCCUCACCAAAGCUCUUGCCCACGUGGAGGCCUAUAUCGAUUUCGGCGAGGAUGACAACCUGGAGGAGGGGGU
rnacentral:sRNA from 1 species